GGUCCCUUAGCUCAGUUGGAAGAGCAUCGGCCUUCUAAGCCGAUUGUCGCUGGUUCGAGCCCAGCAGGGACUGCCA
rnacentral:tRNA from 1 species